rnacentral:rRNA from 1 species
AAAUUUGAAAUCUGGUACCUUCGGUGCCCGAGUUGUAAUUUGGAGAGGGCAACUUUGGGGCCGUUCCUUGUCUAUGUUCCUUGGAACAGGACGUCAUAGAGGGUGAGAAUCCCGUGUGGCGAGGAGUGCGGUUCUUUGUAAAGUGCCUUCGAAGAGUCGAGUUGUUUGGGAAUGCAGCUCUAAGUGGGUGGUAAAUUCCAUCUAAAGCUAAAUAUUGGCGAGAGACCGAUAGCGAACAAGUACAGUGAUGGAAAGAUGAAAAGAACUUUGAAAAGAGAGUGAAAAAGUACGUGAAAUUGUUGAAAGGGAAGGGCAUUUGAUCAGACAUGGUGUUUUGUGCCCUCUGCUCCUUGUGGGUAGGGGAAUCUCGCAUUUCACUGGGCCAGCAUCAGUUUUGGUGGCAGGAUAAAUCCAUAGGAAUGUAGCUUGCCUCGGUAAGUAUUAUAGCCUGUGGGAAUACUGCCAGCUGGGACUGAGGACUGCGACGUAAGUCAAGGAUGCUGGCAUAAUGGUUAUAUGCCGC